rnacentral:lncRNA from 1 species
GAAUUAUGUAGUCCAAAAAUUAAAAUACGAAAAUGUAAAACCUACUCUAUCUAAACUAAUUCUAAACUAAACUCCACCUGAUAUUCCAACACUUGACCGUGCGCCAUCUUCAAGUAUAAUUUUCUCAGAGAAUUUCCCGGAUAAAACAAUACAGAUACCUCGGGGCAUUCCUCGGCCAAUGAAAUACAAUUUCAAGUUUUCUGCGAUAAAGUAGAAAGAACAAUUCACACGCACAUUCAAACAUUCCACAAAACUCCAUUCUUAAAUUUUGCGUACCCAACCUAGCCUUUGCCUACUAGUUUCGAUCUAAAACAUGACAUUAUCAAAUUUAGUAAAUCCGACACCUAUUUUGCAUCAAACAAACAACAAUUAAUCAAUACAAAUUAAUCACGUUCAUUUUUAUCCAUUUUCCAUUCUCACCCCCAAAUUCAUUCUCAACAUGAUUAAACUAAUUUAAUUACGCAAUCCAUCAAUCAAGUAAAUCAACUACGCAUUCACACAAGCAAUUAUUCAUCACCAAUGGAGAUCAACCAAUUCACGAUAUUCAAUCCAAUACAUCGAAUAUGAUAAACAAUGAAAUAAAAAGAGAAAAAAAUAGAAUUGAACCUCAAUUGUCGAUUUACAUAUAUCGAAGAUAGAACCGCGUCCGAAAAACCUUGAAUCCGACCACAGUAACGAACAACACCACUGGGUAUCGGGAAAUACAAACGACACAGAUUUAAAACAAGUGCAGACAACCUCAAUAAGAACUCCGAAUCACGGAUUCCAAAUUCGAACUCCGUUUUACCUAAAACCGAUCGUUUUUCCGUGUAUUUUUGCCAAAAAUUAGAGUAGACAGGGUGGGUUUGGUUGGAGUUUGACGAUGUUUUGUUUUUUCGGUAAAAUUUCACUAAAAUCAGGACAAACGGAUCGAUUUGGUUAUUGAUUUUUUGGUCCGUUUUAGGAUGGAGCCUGAGAUGAUAACGUUCUUCGGCAGAAGCUCACCGGAACUGAUGCGAAUCAUCGGUGAGACGCCAUUUUUGGUGAAACUUCACCGAAAAAUCUCAACUCUCUUUCUAUUUUUGUCUCGAUUCACUCUAAUUACCUCCUCUAUUUUCACUCUGCCCCGUCGAUCCUCACUUGCCAGUUUUCCUCCCUUUACUAUGUGAGUAUCAUGUAUAUGUGAGAGUGCCUGUGUGUGAGAUUGUUGCCGUCUAUUGUUGCUGUGAGUGACGAAUGGAGGAGUUGUAUGUGCAGAUAUGGCUGUGUGUGUGUUAUUCUGUUUAGAGAAAAUGGAAAUUGGAGUGCAUUCUGUAUUCCUGUUUUCAAUGGAGAAAUAUGUGGAGUAUAUGCCUUCUCCUCCUCCCAGUGAAUGGAAAAUUCCCUAUAUCUAUUGUUGUGGUGUGCGUAU